rnacentral:rRNA from 1 species
UACAGAGGGUGCGAGCGUUAAUCGGAAUUACUGGGCGUAAAGCGCACGUAGGCGGCUUGGUAUGUCGGGUGUGAAAUCCCCGGGCUCAACCUGGGAACUGCACCCGAAACUGCCUUGCUCGAGUAUGGGAGAGGGAAGUGGAAUUUCCGGUGUAGCGGUGAAAUGCGUAGAUAUCGGAAGGAACAUCAGUGGCGAAGGCGACUUCCUGGACCAAUACUGACGCUCAGGUGCGAAAGCGUGGGGAGCAAACAGG